GUCAUAACUUUCGUUCCAAGGAAUAAGCGUCUUUUAAUUUCAUGGCUGCAGUCACCACCUUUAGUAAUUUUCAAGCCCCCCAAAAUAGAGUCAACCACUGUUUCCACUGUUUCCCCAUCUAUAUAAUUGUCAAUAUGUAUAUGUAUAUUCACCUAUAUAGUGGUUAAGAAUUCAAAGACAUUUCCAAAAAACAUUAAUAGUUCAGAUUUAUAAAAUAAUUUUAAAAAGCUAUACUGAGCUAAUUUUAAAUUCAAAUUGUACUUUGGUUUAUAAGUGAUUUUUUUAAGGAUAUGAAUUUCGAUUUUAAUUUUAACCUAGAAAAAAGUUCAUACCAUCAUGGAAAUUCAUGUCAUAUGAAUAUUGUGCUGAAGUGUUUCAGAAACUACACGAACAUGGUGAAGCCAGGAAACUGUGGGCCACAGAGGCAGAGAUGGAUUCACCCAUUGACUUACGUGCUAAGGCCCCAAAAACCAAUCGAACCUGAUUUUUCCAAGAUUUAUUGAGAUAUACUUGGUAUACAAAAAUUAUGAUUAAUAUAUAAUUUGCCAAGUUUAGAUAUAUGUAUGCACUUGUGUUACCAUUCCCGUAACCAAGGUAACAAAUCUAUCUACCUCUAAAAAUUUCCAGUGUCCUCUGCAUUUCUUUUUCCUUCAAUUUUAUUGUUGGUAGUGUUUCUCUCUCUCUCUCUCUCUUUGAUGGUAAGAACAAUUAAUAUGAGAUCUACCCUCUUAAGUGCACAAUAUUUUAUUUAUAAUUAUAGGUACUAGCUUGUACAGCAGAUCUCUGGCAUUUACUCAUUUCAUCUAACUUUAUUCUAUCUUACAACCUUAUUACUUUUUGGAUAGGAUUUUGUAUUUAAGUUCAGUUCAGUUCAGUUCAGUCACUCAGUCGUGUCCAAGUCUUUGCAACC
rnacentral:lncRNA from 1 species